rnacentral:misc_RNA from 1 species
GGAUUCUCUUCUCCAAUUAUUAUUAACUUUGAUCUUCACCCUCCUUUCCCUUGUAUUCUCUAUCUACUUUUAUCUCUCAAGGAGAGCAACUAGCCGCUGCAGUGUGCCGCAGGCUGGUGGGGCUUGGCCUGUGAUUGGCCACAUGCACCUCUUCGGUGGUCAGCAGCUAACUCACAAAACACUAGGGGCCAUGGCUGAUAAGUAUGGACCUGUGUUCACUAUAAAACUAGGAUCACACAGAGUUUUAACAGUGAAUAGUUGGGAAAUGGCAAGGGAGUGUUUCACUUCACAUGAUAGAGUUUUCUCCACUAGACCAAGCGUUGCAGCAUCAAAGCUGCUAGGCUAUGACUCUGCCAUGUUUGGUUUUGCCCCAUACGGUUCUUACUGGAGAGAGAUGCGUAAAAUAGCAACAAUUGAGCUUCUGUCAACACAUCGGAUUGAUAUGCUAAAGCACAUACGAGCUUCAGAAGCGGAAACUGCGAUAAGAGAAAUAUACAGAACAUGGGUUGGCAGAGGCAGAAAAGAAAGUGGACUCUUGGUGGAUAUGAAGCAGUGGUUUGGAGACUUGACUCAUAAUGUUGCUUUGAGAAUGGUGGGAGGGAGGCGAUGUUUUGGACCGAAUGCUGAUAUGGAGGAAGGAGAAGCACGUAGAUGUCAAAAGGUUAUGAGAGAUUUUAUUUUCCUGUUUGGGGUUUUUGUGUUGUCUGAUGCAAUACCAUUUCUUGGUUGGUUGGAUUUUAAUGGAUAUGAGAAAUCUAUGAAGAAAACUGCCAAGGAAUUGGACAUUCUCGUGGGAGGGUGGCUGGAGGAACAUAAACAAAAGCGACUGUUAAGUGGGAAGGAAAAGGAAGAGCAAGAUUUCAUGGAUGUGAUGCUUAACAUAUUGGAAGAAGCAAAGAUUUCAUGUUUUGAUGCAGACACCAUUAACAAGGCUACUUGCCUGAAUUUGAUCUUAGCAGGAAGUGACACAACCAUGGUUACUUUGACAUGGGCAUUAUCUUUAUUGCUCAACAAUCCUCAUGUGCUCAAGAAGGCUCAGGAUGAACUGGACCUCCAUAUUGGUAAAGACAGGCAUCUAGAUGAAACUGAUAUAAAAAAAUUGAUCUAUCUCCAAGCCAUUGUCAAGGAAACACUGCGCCUAUAUCCACCAAGUCCUCUCAUUGGUCUUCAUGCUGCAAUGGAAGACUGCACCCUCUCAACGGGCUACCAAGUCUCAGCUGGAACACGCCUGAUGGUAAAUGCCUGGAAAAUUCAACGUGAUGAGCGAGUGUGGUCAAAUCCUGAUGAAUUCCUUCCUGAGAGAUUCUUGUGUACUAACCAUAAGGAGACAGACUUGAAGGGACAGAAUUUUGAACUCAUCCCUUUUGGCUCAGGAAGAAGGUCUUGUCCUGGCAUCUCUCUAGCCCUCCAAGUAGUGCAUUUCACCCUGGCUAGUUUCUUGCAUUGUUUUGAAGUUGCCAAGCCAUUACCAAGCGAAGAUGUGGAUAUGAGCGAGAGCCCUGGCUUGACAAAUUUAAAAGCAACCCCACUUGAGGUUGUCCUUGUACCUCGUCUUAAUUCCAGGCUCUAUGGAUUCUAAACUGAAAACACCACUAGAUGGAAGAAAGUGCAAUCUUGUGGAGAUGCCUUAUCUACUGUAGAUAAAAAGUUAAAAAGAAAUAAAGAUUAUUUCUAAUAAAAUUGAAAAAG